rnacentral:lncRNA from 1 species
CUGUGAUUGGUCACAUCAUGUGGCACCUGGGAAGACAGCAGGUAUAAGGGAUGAAUGCUCGGUCAAGGAAUUUUACACAUAAUUCUGCAGCAUCCCUUGUACGUUCAGAGUUGGUUACCAUGGCAAUUGUUGUACCGUGUGCGUCCUGCUAUGGCAGCAGCAGUGUUCAGCUCUUUGGGAGGGGGCCUGGUGGUGAUUACAUGUCCCUUUUCAGUUACAGAGGGCCCAGAGGGGCCCCUCGCCCACGUCUGGCCUGCCACGCUCCGAAGAUGACACUGCGUCAGAUUUGUCACAUGUUGCGUAUAAUGCGCCAGCUGCGCAAUAAAGAGGCAGCAGCAGCAGCUGCAGCCACCAGAAAACAGGCCUCUCCUCCCAGCUCACCAAUGAUCAAAUCGGAAAAGCGUUGCUUACCUGCCUGCUUUCGGCGCAGACGUAGUAACAAUAUGAAAAGAGUGAGUUAAGCAUCCAGCAUCUCCAAAACCUCCCAACAACUUCAGCCCUGUGGGAGUUUACUAACUAAUGGAGCCAGUCCUUACUCUACACAGAAGAGUUAAAGUGAGGGACCAAGGCAUCGCUCUACAAUCUUGUUGAAUUCUUUUGUUGGGAGGAUUUAACAUGCAACAAAUCUGGUUUGAAUUGGAAAGAAGCAGAUCUUUAGAUGUCCUGAGUGCUGGAACUCUACAUAUCUUACUGCUCAUAAUGACACAGAGGAGGUUUUUUUUUUUUUUUUUUUUUUUUUACAUGAUUCUUUUUUUCUUGGACUAUAGUUUGGACUCGAAUUGUGAAAUCUAUGAAAUUCCA